GAUGAACGCUGGCGGCGUGCCUAAUACAUGCAAGUCGAGCGAACGGACGCGAAGCUUGCUUCUCUGAUGUUAGCGGAGGACGGGAGAGUAACACGUGGAUAACCUACCUAUAAGACUGGGAUAACUUCGGGACACCGUAGCUAAUACCGGAUAAUCUUUUGAACCGCAUGGUUCAAAAGUGAAAGACGGUCUUGCUGUCACUUAUCGAUGGAUCCGCGCUGCAUUAGCUAGUUGGUAAGGUAACGGCCUACCAAGGCAACGAUGCAUAGCCGACCUGAGGGGGUGAUCGGCCACACGGGAACUUAGACGCGGUCCUUACUCCUACGGGAGGCAGCAGUAGGGAAUCUUCCGCAGUGGUCGAAAGCCUGACGGAGCAGCGCCGCGUGAGUGAUGAAGGUCUUCGGAUCGUAAAACUCUGUUAUGAGGGAAGAACAUAUGUGUAAGGAACUGUGCACAGCGUGACGGUACCUAAUCAGAAAGCCACGGCCAACUACGUG
rnacentral:rRNA from 1 species